rnacentral:rRNA from 1 species
CCUACGGGUGGCAGCAGUGAGGAAUAUUGGUCAAUGGACGAGAGUCUGAACCAGCCAAGUAGCGUGAAGGAUGACUGCCCUAUGGGUUGUAAACUUCUUUUAUAAAGGAAUAAAACGCGGCAAGUGUGCCGUUUUGCAUGGACUUUAUGAAUAAGGAUCGGCUAAAUCCGUUCCAGCAGCCGCGGUAAUACGGAGGAUCCGAGCGUUAUCCGGAUUUAUUGGGUUUAAAGGGAUCGUCGAUGGGUUGUUAAGUCCGUUGUGAAAGUUGGCGGCUCAACCGUAAAAUUGCAAUUGAUACUGGCAGUCUUGAGUACAGUUGAGGUAGGCGGAAUUCGUGGUGUAGCGGUGAAAUGCUGAGAUAUCACGAAGAACCCCGAUUGCGAAGGCAGCUUACUAAACUGUGACUGACAUUGAUGCUCGAAAGUGUGGGUAUCAAACAGGAGUAGAUACCCGAGUAGUC